rnacentral:rRNA from 1 species
GACGAACGCUGGCGGCGUGCUUAACACAUGCAAGUCGAACGGAAAGGCCCUGCUUUUGUGGGGUGCUCGAGUGGCGAACGGGUGAGUAACACGUGAGUAACCUGCCCUUGACUUUGGGAUAACUUCAGGAAACUGGGGCUAAUACCGGAUAGGAGCUCCUGCUGCAUGGUAGGGGUUGGAAAGUUUCGGCGGUUGGGGAUGGACUCGCGGCUUAUCAGCUUGUUGGUGGGGUAGUGGCUUACGAAGGCUUUGACGGGUAGCCGGCCUGAGAGGGUGACCGGCCACAUUGGGACUGAGAGACGGACCAGACUCCAACGGGAGGCAGCAGGGGGGAAUAUUGCAGAAUGGGCGGAAGCCUGAGGCAGAAACGCCGCGUGCGGGAUGACGGCUUUCGGGGGGUAAACCGCUUUCGCCUGUGAUGAAGAGUGAGUGACGGUAAUGGGUAAAGAAGCACCGGCUAACUACGUG